AGAGAGAGAGUUAUGGGCUGACCACCAAUCUUUACGGCGGAUUGACGGUGGCGCAACGGCGGUGACAUCACAAUCCGGCGUGUACGCUUCAACAACUCGCUAACCGCAGGACGAGGGUUCCGCCGCAAACACAACCAUAGCGGCGAGUAUGGUUGUUCUUCCGUGACAUUGGAAGCCAAUCCAGCCAAACGAAAUACGUAUUCUAACGAACGAGGUAUUUUUAUUCCGAGUGUGGACAGAUACAAUGAAGACAACGAGCAUCAUGAGCGCUCAAACACAAGACCACUGCUUGAGCGAAUGUCGCCAAACAUACCAGCUUAAAUACAUGUGCUUCAGUUUUGUUAUGGGUGUGGAAGUGCAUAUAUAAACACUCACAUGUGUGCUUCCGUUUAACGUUUUUGUUAGUAGCAAGUUGUUUGCUAAUAAAUUCGGAAAAUCAUUUGGACAACCAUUCGGACAGAUUUGCUCAAUCAGGCGGCGUUGGCGGUGCUACUAUUGCGGCAGAAACUAGGAUUUAUGUAGUUGAAGGCGGUGAUGGUGGUUGCCGGCAUCAAAGCAGGUUGACGGCCAUGGGUACAGAAGAGGACUGAGGCAAAUAAGGUAAGUUUUCACGGCUAUGGUUCUCUUAUCCACUAAUUUUAUCGCUUGGGUUUGUUUUAAAUCGCUCCUCUGCGGUGACUUCUCCACCACCGACAUCAACUCUCAACUUGAAAUCAUUUGCCGUCGACAUCAACUCUCGACUUCAAAUCGCCUUUUUGCGUAGACUUGACCACCAUUAACAUCAAAAUUGGUAAUCGUUUCUUUUCGUUUGUGCUCUUCACAAUCUUUCCAGCCGGUUCAGUUUUUACCUUUGCAUUUUUUCUUCUUUAAAUAAUUUGUUGAUCCAGAGGUUUCUCUUAUUGG
rnacentral:lncRNA from 1 species